ACUUUCAGCAAUGGAUCUCUUGGCUCUUGCAUCGAUGAAGAACGCAGCGAAAUGCGAUAAGUAAUGUGAAUUGCAGAAUUCAGUGAAUCAUCGAAUCUUUGAACGCAUCUUGCACUCCUUGGUAUUCUGAGGAGUAUGCCUGUUUGAGUGUCAU
rnacentral:rRNA from 1 species